AAAGUCUUCUUUUAUUUAUAACAUAACUUUUCAGCAGCAGGGACAUAAACGUCUUUGACCUUUUAGACAGCAGCAAAAACUAAACUGAGCUGAAUUAAAACAGCUGCUUUCUGAACUUCUCGAGGUGAUACAGCAAAAACAAUGGAGAGGUGAAACCGGAACAGCUUGAUACCUGCCUCACAUCUGAAGAAGGAAACACACAGUUUGACACUUCUACACUGAUUUAAUUAUGAAAAGGUCGAGGUGGAUUUCUAAAAAGGACAUUUUGGACAUUUUGAUGCCUGGAAUCAGCACAUCCAGGAGCGUUCCCUACUCUCCCUCCUCUGGGCGAGGUUGCCACACACCUGAAAUGCCACUUGGUUGAGUUGUAUGAAUUGUUCUGUCUGGACUCUAACUUGGGACCAGUUUGCAAUGGGAUUUAAAUUCAGGAACAACGCUACUCCCUGGAAUUCUUCCACGGACCAAGAGGGUCGCUGUUCUGUUACAAGAUAUUAUUAGAUUAAGAAAUCCUGAAUAAAGAAACACAGAUCACA